ensembl:lncRNA NCOA7-AS1 NCOA7 antisense RNA 1
ACGCUGCUCCAGAGAACUCUGCUCUACAUUGUCAGAAACCAGCUUUCAACUUGGGUUCCAGGAUGAAGACAUGUGGAACAGAACCCGAACUUGAACCUCAGCUUUGGCAUCCGGCUUAACCUUUGCCAAGGCCAGCCUGCAGAACCCAGCCAGGAGUAGCUAAACCACAGUCAACCUGCAAAUCCAUGAAGGAUAUACUCAGAGAAGAAUCACGAGUGCCAAGAGAGACCAUGAGGCAAACUGCUCUCCAUUGAAGGUAUACCAGCCUACCCUUCGUGAGCUAAACACAACCUCACUCUUGCCAGCAUUGUAACUGACUUUUUAAAUCUAGUAAUCUGCACUUCUUUGAUGCCAUGAAGUCAGUAUUAUUUUCAUGUCUUGGCCAUCUUAAGUUCCUGUUUUGUGAAUAUUCUAUUCCUAUUCCUUGUUAUAAAGGUUUUCAGAGUUAAGACAUGUUAAAUAGAAAUUAUUUUGGAAGGUUCUGUGAUUCAAAAUAUCAAA